rfam:Dipodomys ordii contig_37739, whole genome shotgun sequence.
GGGAAGGUAGCUCAGUGGUAGAGUGCUUGCCUUGCAUGCAUGAGGCCCUGGGUUUGAUUCCCCAGCACCA